CGGCAUCUUUGUGCCCAGUCGAGGAUAGAGCACGGCUCCCACCCGACCUCUCAAAGCGCGCCUUCCUCUCUGCUCUUACCCCCUCCACACGCCCCUUCAGACGCACGCACACACACACACGCACACACACACACGCACACACACACACACACACACACACACACUUGUGUGCACACGCGCGCCUUAACGUCUGAUUCCGACUGCCGUGAUCGCACCGGUGCGUCCUUCUCUCUCCGCUUUAGCCGUUUUUGGUGUGUGGGUGCGUGUCUCGCAUUUGCAUCUCUUGUAUUUUUUUUUUAUUCGGUGGUAGCGGUGGUGGCUCGUGGCGCUUACCCCAAUUUGAAGUCGGCUUCAUAAGGCGCACCGCGUUGACUUGAAGGACUGAUCAACGUGCGUGGGAGCGGUUAUCUUCACGGCGGCGGCGCUUCCAUCGGCAAUACCAAUUCUGCGCUACUGUUUCACUGCCGGGGCGCUGCUCCGUGGCCCUUUCGUGUCUUGCCGACUCUGAAGAGAAACCCUCUUUGCUGACUCACAAGUGCGCUAGUCAUAGGUGGGAGAACGAUAAACGAGCGGUGUAGCGGAAUGGAGUCUAAAGGUGGCGUAGGCAGUAGCAAUGGCAGCGGCGGCACGAGCAGCAAUCGACACCCGCUGAUUGGUCAGCUGCGUCCCAUCUUUCAAGAGCUGGAGUCGGCCACGCCGCAGACGCUCCCCUCCAUCAUCCUCAAGCUAGAGUACGUGAUCGAGGAGGAGAAGGACGCUUUGUUUCACCGCAACUCCAUCAAGUCCUAUACGGCCAAUGCACGCACAUUCCCCAACUGGCUGAAUGCGCAGCUACGACACCUGUUUGAGCAGCCUCAGACGCACAUGGCGGGCGUGCAGGUGCUACGGGCGCUGCUGCCAGUGGAGUACGUGGAGCUGAAUGAGAUGACGAAGCUCUUUUCGGAGCUGCUGGUGCGCUGCGUACUGGAGACGGCGGACUACAAUACCGCCGUGGAGGGGGGAGAGGUGUGGGGUUUGCUACUCAACAAUGGCAGCAGCGUAGUCGAGGGCAUCAUCAUCAACUGCUUACAGUUUUCGUUAGCACUGCUGAUGCGCGGAGGGCACGAUGAGAUAUUCUUGCGCGAAGACGUGAGCCAUCGCGGCGUCGACAGCGAAGCGACGGUUCGAUCGGCCAUGUCCCCCUUGGUGGACUCUUCGCGGCAGGGCGAGAAUGCUGUCCUCACGGAUGACGAUCGGUUCCCCAAGGCAACGAAGCUGUCGGGGUGCAUCUUCAUUCAACAGCUGGUGCGCCGCGUGCCAUCGACGAUUGCGCCACACGUGCACAACAUUCUUGAGUGCCUGCGCCGCGCCAUCCUCGACUCCAACAAGCUUGUGCGCGUGAGCGGAGGCGAUGCGCUCUUUUACACGUUGACCAUUUCCUAUCGUUCCACCGACCCAAAAUUCUACAGCCGCUGGCAGAACACAUUUCUCGAAGACGCGGAGCGGAGCGUCAUGUACGGCAGCGACGUCGUCCUGCAUGGCUGCCUGCUGGCCUUCAAUGCCGUGCUCUCCGCGACGGCAUCGCGUGAGGCCGAAGGGCGAGCAGUCGGCUUCUCCAACCAAGGGCGAAAGCACAUUCUGCAGUUCUGGACGUUUAUCAACGACAACCUGGUGAGCACCUCGCACAACAGCGACGUGCGCGCCGAGGUGCUCAACGCACUACCGCUGCUGGCUCAGUACGACAGCACUACCUUUAAAGAGAUUUCGGUGAAGCACGUGCGCGCGCUGGCGGCGGCGGUGUUUGUCGGCACGGAGGGCAAGGAUGAGCGGGCAAUGGUGUUUCAGGUGCUCGCGCGGCUUUUCACGGUGUUGCCCAGCCUUGUCGUACCGUUCCUGGACUUUAUGAUGAAGUACAUCGAGGCAUCGCUGACACCGCAACCUCUCCGUGACCGCUGCCCUGAGGCCGUGACAUGCUUCGCCACGCUCUCUAGCGUAGAGCCGAACGCGGUACGCCCCUUCCUACGGCCCCUGCUUGGGCCCCUCUUCGCUGGGUCGGUGACGGAGCACUUUGCGCGCGACGUGGCGAAGAUCUGCACGGCCUUCCCAGAGCUGCGGUCGACGUGCUUGUCGAAGGUUCUAGAGGCAACAAAGGAACAGCUGCUACGCAUGCGUAACCGGCCCCGACACACCAGCGCGUCCAGCGAGACGGACCACAGUGCUAUUGUACGCAGCCUCAACUCGCUCGGGAGCCUUGACUUCACGGGAUACUCGACUUUGCAGUUCUUGUGCGACGCCGUUAUUCGAUAUGUGUCAGACCCACACGAGGAGGUGCGCCGGAGCGCGAUCGAUCUGUGCUUCAAGCUGGCCCUCUCCGGCUGCUCUCAGUCGCCGUGCGAGCGCACAGCCGUUGGUGUCGUGAUUCACCGCGGUCGGGAACACUUGGGCCUGGUGAACACCGUCAUCCGGAAACUGGUGAGCGCGGCUGUUGCGGACACCGAGAGCGAUAUCCGCCUGCACACGCUGGAGCACCUGAGCACGGAGUUUGACUACUCACUGGCUCUGCAGGACAUCUGCACGGCGCUGUUCCCCGCCCUGCACGACCACCACCAGAACCGCAUCGCAGCCGUUCGUCUCCUAGGCCGCCUUUCCAGUCGCAACCCCUCAUGCAUCCUUCCUAUGCUGCGUUGCGUGAUGGUGCAGUGCAUUAUGGACAUUCAGCUCUUCCACGAACCGAAGCGGCAGGAGCAGGCUGCGGUGGUGCUGAGUGCGGUGGUGGAGUCCGCGCCUGCGAUGGCACGCCCGUACAUCUCGUCUCUUUUGCAAGACUGCGUAACGCGGCUGCAGGAGGAGAACAAGCCUGUUCCGGUGAUCACGGCGCUCCUGUCGCUUGUCGGGAGGCUCGCGCGGUACGCGGAGGACGACGACGUGGCUGUGGUGGCCGCCAUUCGACCGUGCGUCAUUCGGCACAUCCUCGACUCGUCCAGCAUCCAGAAAAAGAUCGAGGCAAUUCGCGCCUUGGGCGAUAUCAUCCGCACCACAAAGGACGUCGACGUGUACGAGACAAAUCCCGAGCUGCUGCGCGUCCUUCUCUCCGCUCUCCACGGCGGCUUCAAAGAAACGUGGCCGGUGAGACUGGAUGUGUUGAAGCUGAUGGGAAUUAUUGGCGCCGUCGAUCCUGUUCGUGCCAAGGAGAUCACGCGUCACUUGCGGGAUGGAGGUCUGAGCAGCAGUGGCGCGGCCGCACCUGCUGCGUUGCAGCUUUCCUCCUCUCGCGGGGAAGAGGCGAUCGCGCAGAAUGUCGUCAAGAACGUGCUCGGCGUCCUGCAACUGCCAUGCUUAUCCGAUGACCAGUGCCUCUGUGCGGUGCAGGUGAUCGCAAACACGCUGUCGCUCAAGGAGGCGGCGAGCGGGUGUCUUACCCCGAUGUAUCGCGACAUUCUCCAUACUGUUGUUCAGCAAAUCACUCUUCAGGCUAAGAUACGCGAGAACCUGUUCGGGGUGAUGACGCAUAUCGUGUACCUUUACGGCCAGCACAUUCGCCCAUACCUGGACGAGCUCAUUAGCACGUGCGUCGGCUUCCUUCCUGCUGCAGAGCGCGGCGUCCUUGUGGAGAUACUGUGUCUUCUGAGGGAGAUGCGCCGCUCGCUCCGUGAAGAGUUCAGCCCUUCGCUCUCGCUGGUGCUGCCUCCGCUCAUCCAGACGGUUCAGGCGGACGCCGCGCACUCCAGCGAGCCUGUGUUCGCCUUCCUCAUAGAGAUGGGGCAUUUACUCGACGACCACCUCCACAACGUCGUGCCCUGCGUCUGCGAGGUGGCAAGUAAUCCUGCUUAUCCGGUGGCGUGCCGUGCGGCAGCUGCGGACGCCAUUCGCCACUUUGCUCGCCGACUGCCGCGCCUUGUGUUUCACGCGUCGCGCUGCGUGCACUGUCUAUGCCGGGUGCUGAAGGAGAUGGAGUCGCAUCCACUGCUGUUUGAGCAGCAACCAGGAGCAUCCGCGGACGCGGCUCAGCGCCGCCCUGCUGCCGAGCUAGCGGCUGGCGGAGACACGACGGCCUCAGACGUGCGCAGUUUCGUCGCCGUUACCCUGGACGCAGUGCGCGUCGUCAGCCGCAACCUCGGUAGCGACUUCGAGAAGUACACCCCCCUGGUGUUCCCACUGCUGGACGGCUACGGCCAGGACGGCCAGGAUGUGAAGGCAUUCACGCUCAGCACCCUGCGCACGAGCGGCCGCGUGGUGGCACCCGAGAACGCUCAGGCGCAAGAGGAGGAGACCGCUGCCCGGUAUCGCGUCAACACUCAGCAGCUGGCUCAGCGGCGCAAGGCCGCGCUGGAGGACAACUUUGCGCAGCUGCGCAGCAUCCUUCUCGCGCGCGACCGGGAGACCGAGGAAGAGUGGAACUUGUGGUUGAAGCAGCUGGCAGUGGAGCUGCUACGGUCGAGUCCGUCGAACGCGCAUGGCUUCGCCUUUGCCCUAGCUCAGCUGCACGAGCCCUUUGCGCGGCAAAUGCUGCACUCCGCCUUCGCUGUAUGCUACGCGGAAAUGGAGCCGCGCACGAAGGAGGCGGUUCGCGCUCUUCUCGGCAACGUGCUCCGCAGCGACCGCGUGCCGUCCGAGGUGCUGCAGGAGCUGCUGAACCUGUCCGAGUACAUGGAGCGACUGGAGAUGCGCUUUAACCCAAAGGAAGGCUCGCACAGCACGUAUGCCGGGCUGCUUUUCGACUUGAAGACGCUGAUGGGGAGCAGCGAGCGCUGCAACUUGUACGCCAAGGCGCUGCACUACGUCGAGAUUCAGUUCUACGAGGCGACCUACGAGUACGAGCGCAACGUGAUGCGCGGUCAGGUGCGCCCGCUGCCGCCUGAGGAGUGGAGCAAACUUGUACAGUGGUGCGAGAAGAGCAUUUACUUGUGCAACCUGCUGGGACUGCGCGAGAGCGCAGAGGGCAUGCUCAAGUACAUCCAGCGCAAUUUUUCUUUUCUGACCGGCAAGCCUCCGUCAGAGCUGCCGCUUAUGAUGGACGCGCAGCUCCUCGAGAAGCUGCAGUGGUGGUCUCAGAGUUUGCGGGCGUAUGAGAAGGGCCUGCAGGCGGAGCCGAACAAGUUCAGCAACAUGGUCGGCCUCAUGCGCUCCCUCGACAACCUUGGCGACUACGGUCGGCUGCUGGAGUCGUGGAAGCUCUUCUACCCCCGCAUCACGCGUAAGGAGGCCUCUGAGUUGGCCCCGUAUGGUGCCCACGCAGCGUGGCUGCUGCGGUGCUGGGACGACAUGGAGAAGAUCACAGCCUACAUGACAGAUGAAGGCUACGUUGGCACGACCGCUGUCUUUUACCGGGCUGUGCUCGCCACCCACAAGCUUCAGUUCCACGACGCCGUACCGGUGAUUCAAAACUGCCGCAAACGACUCGACUCGACGCUGUCGGCACUCGUGGCGGAAAGCUACGACCGCGCCUAUGGUCUGUUUGUUGGUAUCCAGCAACUCAGUGAGCUGGAGGAGUUCGCAUUUGUUGCCGACAACCCGCAGGGCCUCAACCACUGGCAGGAGCUCUGGGAGAAGCGGCUGGCUGCCAUGGCCUACGAAGGCUGGCCCGGCACGCUUGCGAACCACACACUUGUCAUCCCGCUGGCGCAGGAGCUGGAGAUGUGGCUGCGGUUCGUGUCGCUGUCACGCGUGCACGGUCGCGACCGCACAUCGCGCGACAUCCUGUUCGAGCUUCUGGGCAAGCAGACCAUUGCGGCCGCGCUGGAGCAGCCGCGGCUGCCGCAACCUCCAAUUGCCCUCGCCGCCUGCCAGCACUUCUACGACAUCAACGAGCGCGAAAGGGCGGUCGAGCUGCUUGAAACGUACCUGAAGAAGAUGGAUCAGGCAGCCCCCUCUCUGCUGGACAUCGGGGGCGGUCAAGCGAGCCUGGCCAUGUGUCAUGCAAAGCUGGCGAGCUGGCUUUUCACCGUGGCGAAGAAGAAGCGGCAGAACGUUGAUGCGCACUACCGUGAGUACAUCCGUCACCACCUUGAGAAAGCGACCAGCCUCGACAGCACUAACGGCACGAUUUGGCACACGUGGGCGCGGUUCAACCACGACCUUGUCACACACCGCUCCCGCGGUGCGGCGAGCGAGGUUCGCCGCGAUGAGCACGUUAAACACAUCGUGGCUGCCAUGGACGGCUAUGUGCGGAGCGUGUCCUGCUCGCAGGAGCUCGAAGACAUGCUAGGGUUUCUCUCCUUGUGGUUCAUUCAUGCCGCGCUGCCGCAGGUGCAAGAGAAUGCGGCGCUGCAGGCGGAGAUUCUUCAGGUGAGUCCGACGGUGUGGCUCAAGGUUCUUCCCCAAAUCAUCGCCCGCUUGCACUCGCGCGACGCCGUUGUGUCAGAGUCCGUCUUUCAGCUGCUCACCAUUGUCGCCAAGGCGCACCCGCAGGCGCUCCUGUACAACCUCAAUGUCACGCUGAACUCCAGCGUGCGGGGUACAGAGAGCAACACGACGGAGCAGAUGGAGCGCAAGCAGGCGGCACAGCGGUUGCUCGGUCGCAUAAAGGAGAUGCACAAUCAUGGCCGCACGAUGGUCAAGGACGCCGCCCUUGUCUGCCAGGAGCUCGUACGGUGCGCAGUGCUCUGGACGGAGCUGUGGUUUGAUGAGCUUGAGCGAGCGUGGUUUCAGUGGGGGCGCGACAAGAACGCUCACAACGUAUUUCUUGUCCUUCAGCCGCUGCUCGAGCAGCUGUCGCACCCUAACACCCUCGCCGAGUCGCACUUUGUGGCCGAGUUCGGUGAGCUACUUGGUGGGGCCUGUGAGUACGUGGAAAAGGCCGCGUCGACCGGCAACAAUGUCUACAUGGAGGAUGCGUGGAACCGCUUCAAGACGGCUGUGAAGCGGAUGGAUGAGCAGAUCAACGGCAUGAACUCACUUGCCCUGCAGCUCGUGAGUCCGCGUCUGAUGCAGAGCGGCAAGGACCUUUCGCUGGUGGUGCCGGGGCAGUACAACGAGGACGGCGUGUACCCGCGCAUCGCUUCCUUUCAAAGCACGUUGAGGGUGAUGAACUCAAAGCAGCACCCGCGCCGCCUUUAUAUGACCGGCACGGACGGCGUCUUGUACAAGUUUCUCCUCAAGGGUCACGAAGAUCUGCGGCUCGACGAGCGCGUCAUGCAGCUGCUAGCUUUCGUGAACACACUGCUGGAGAAGCACUCGGCUAUCCAGCGCCGUGACUGCAUGAUCCAGGUAUUCUCUGUCACCCCCCUCAGCGAGAAUGCGGGACUGGUUGGGUGGGUCGACAACUGCGACACACUGCAUCAACUCAUUAAGGAUUACCGUGUGCACUCCAAGUACCUCUCCAUUGAGAUGAACCUGAUGCUGAGCUUCAACGUCGACCUGGACCGGCUUCAGGUGAUUCAACAUGUCGAACCGUUCGAGUUUGCACUGGAGCAGACGGAGGGCGCCGACCUCGCCAACUCGCUGUGGAUGCGCGCGCCAAGCGCUGAGUCGUGGUUGGACCGGCGCACCACUUAUGUCUGUUCGCUUGCCACCAUGUCCAUGGUUGGCCACAUUUUGGGCCUGGGCGACCGCCAUCCGUCGAACCUGAUGAUCCACUCGUUCAGCGGUCGCGUCGUGCACAUCGACUUCGGCGACUGCUUCGACGUGGCGCAAAACCGUAGCGCGUUCCCAGAGAAGGUGCCAUUCCGACUGACUCGAAUGCUGGUCAAGGCCAUGGAGAUGGGUGGCAUCGACGGACUCUUCCGCCACGGCUGCAUCACGGUGAUGGGUGUGCUGCGCGAGGAGGGUAGCAGCAUUCUAGCUCUGCUGGAGGCUUUCGUACACGACCCGCUUGUGUCGUGGUGGCGCGACGAGUCGGAAGAUGGGGCGACCGUAUCUGCUGCCGUCGCCUCGGCAGCGCCGAGCAGCAGCAUUCCGUCUGCCGGCGCGGCUGCGGCACUCGGACACUAUUCGCAGCGCGCCGCCUACGCAGCCAUUGGUGAGUCCUUUCACAAGUCCCGCACCGCCUUUGCCUCUCGCACGCCAGCGUCGCGCUCGUUGGCGCCGCGUGGUCGCUCCUUUCGCGCACCACAGACCUCGAUCGCCUCCAGCCCUUCUGCUCCGCCUCCCCUCGUCUCCGAUCGGUCGUCAGACAUUUUAAGCAACAUGUCAGUCAAUCACACCAGCGAAGCAAAGAAAGUGGUCAAUCGCAUUCGCGAAAAACUCGAGGGCCGCGAGUUUGCCGCGUGGCAGCUCCAAGCCAGCGCCUCGGCGCACGCGGCAGAUGACGUGGGCGUGGCCAUGAAGGGGCAGUCGGAAGAGGACCCAAUGACUAGUGUCAGCUUGGGCAGCGCCGCGUCUGCAGCACCGAUGGCGAGCGGCGAAGACGGGCUUUCCGUUCAGGCGCAGGUGAGUCGGCUCAUCUCGGAGGCUACCUCCAACGAGAACCUGUGCGUCCACUUCCAAGGCUGGUGCCCGUUUUGGUGAGGCCUGCCAACGCGCGUGAGCGCGCUGAAUCACACCGCUGGAAGGGGAAGCGAGAAAGGCGGUAGCGGCGGGACGCAAGCGACGGAGGAAUGCCAGAAAAGUGGUGUGUGCGAGCGUAGGUACGUGCGUAUCGGUGAGCUCUCCUUGCACAUAUAUAAAUACACACAUAUAUGUGUGUAUGUAUGUAUGGCAAUCUUUCACGGCUCCGCGACGGCUUCGAAAAUAGAAAACACACUUCGGCAUGGGAAGACAGAAAGGAGACGGCUGCCUCAGCAUAGGCGGUGACCACCACGCGUAAUCUGGCAAAGUGUCUGCAUGAGCGUGCACAGGCACCCUUUCACCGCGUCCUUGGCUCAUCAGAGCGGCCCGAAGGGUUCACUGAAGCAGAGAGAAAGGGCAAAGGGCGACUGCCGCAGCAGGCGCUUGCUCGCCACCUACCGUCGGCUUUCUCUGGCUUACCUGCUGGGACGCGAAGUGGGCGAUGCCGAGGCGACCAGCAGCUGCAUGAAGUCACACCCCGGUAUGCUGAGGGUGCGUCAGCGGCCAUUUUGGAAAGAGAAAGACGGAGCAAAGAGCGUGAGGGCAACACGCGCCCUUUUUUGCCGUUUGUGCCUUGACCCCUCCCCCGUCUUCCGAAGCGCUGAUGGCGGCUGCAGUUGGGUGCAUUGAGCCAUCCUUACCUCUCUCUCCCUCCGCCUCCAUCUUUCCUCUUCGCGUUGCCUUCCGCGUCUCCGCCUCGGUACGCUCUUUAUGGAAUGCUCUUCCCUCUUCGUUUCUCAUCUUCCGCAUCCAACGGGGAUUGGCUGCAACCCUGUUUCCAUCGUCGUUGCUGGAACUCGUGCGGCACGCGCGCGCACUCACUUCACUCGCAUGGAG
rnacentral:misc_RNA from 1 species